rnacentral:rRNA from 1 species
GAUGAACGCUGGCGGCGUGCCUAAUACAUGCAAGUCGAGCGAACGGACGAGAAGCUUGCUUUUCUGAUGUUAGCGGCGGACGGGUGAGUAACACGUGGAUAACCUACCUAUAAGACUGGGAUAACUUCGGGAAACCGGAGCUAAUACCGGAUAAUAUUUUGAACCGCAUGGUUCAAAAGUGAAAGACGGUCUUGCUGUCACUUAUAGAUGGAUCCGCGCUGCAUUAGCUAGUUGGUAAGGUAACGGCUUACCAAGGCAACGAUGCAUAGCCGACCUGAGAGGGUGAUCGGCCACACUGGAACUGGGACACGGUCCAGAGUCCUGCGGGAGGCAGCAGUAGGGAAUCGUCCGCAAUGGGCGAAAGCCUGACGGAGCAACGCCGCGUGAGUGAUGAAGGUCUUCGGAUCGUAAAACUCUGUUAUUAGGGAAGAACAUAUGUGUAAGUAACUGUGCACAGCUUGACGGUACCUAAUCAGAAAGCCACGGCUAACUACGUG